AGAGACAGCAGCCGCGCGGUAAUACGUAGGUGGCAAGCGUUGUCCGAAAUUAUUGGGCGUAAAGGGCUCGCAGGCGGUUUCUUAAGUCUGAUGUGAGAGCCCCCGGCUCAACCGGGGAGGGUCAUUGGAAACUGGGAAACUUGAGUGCAGAAGAGGAGAGUGGAAUUCCACGUGUAGCGGUGAAAUGCGUAGAGAUGUGGAGGAACACCAGUGGCGAAGGCGACUCUCUGGUCUGUAACUGACGCUGAGGAGCGAAAGCGUGGGGAGCGAACAGGAUUAGAUACCCCAGUAGUCCCUGUCUCUUAUACA
rnacentral:rRNA from 1 species